rnacentral:rRNA from 1 species
UAAGACAUGCAAGUCGAACGAAGUGAACUAAUGAAGAUGGAGUGCUUGCACAAAGUCGGAUUUAAAUUCACUUAGUGGCAGACGGGUGAGUAACACGUGGGUAAUCUACCCCAAAGACUGGGACAACAGUUAGAAAUGACUGCUAAUACCGGAUGAUUCAUAUUUAGAUAACUAGAUAUGCUAAAAGGAGCCUUUAAAGCUUCACUUUGGGAUGAGCUUGCGGCGCAUUAGCUAGUUGGUAGGGUAAUGGCCUACCAAGGCAACGAUGCGUAUCCGAGCUGAGAGGCUGAACGGACACACUGGGACUGAGACACGGCCCAGACUCCUACGGGAGACAGCAGUUAGGAAUAUUCGUCAAUGGGGGAAACCCUGAACGAGCAAUGCCGCGUGAGUGAUGAAGGUUCCUUAUUGAUCGUAAAACUCUGUUGUAAGAGACGAAACCACAGUAUAGGAAAUGAUACUGUGCUGACGGUAUCUUACCAGAAAGCCCCGGCUAACUACGUGCCAGCAGCCGC